AUUAAACGCUGGCGGCAUGCCUUACACAUGCAAGUCGAACGGCAGCACGGGGGCAACCCUGGUGGCGAGUGGCGAACGGGUGAGUAAAGCAUCGGAACGUGCCCUGGAGUGGGGGAUAACGUAGCGAAAGUUACGCUAAUACCGCAUAUUCUGUGAGCAGGAAAGCAGGGGAUCGCAAGACCUUGCGCUCUGGGAGCGGCCGAUGUCGGAUUAGCUAGUUGGUGGGGUAAAGGCCUACCAAGGCGACGAUCCGUAGCGGGUCUGAGAGGAUGAUCCGCCACACUGGGACUGAGACACGGCCCAGACUCCUACGGGAGGCAGCAGUGGGGAAUUUUGGACAAUGGGCGAAAGCCUGAUCCAGCCAUGCCGCGUGAGUGAAGAAGGCCUGG
rnacentral:rRNA from 1 species